rnacentral:tRNA from 1 species
GAAGGGGUAGCUCAGUGGUAGAGCACGUGCCUAGCAAGAAUGAUGUCCUGGGUUCAAUCCCCAGCACCGCCA